rnacentral:rRNA from 1 species
UACGGGGGGCAAGCGUUGUUCGGAAUUACUGGGCGUAAAGGGUGCAGUAGGCGGCGCGGUAAGUCGGGUGUGAAAUCUUGGAGCUUAACUCCGAAACUGCAUUCGAUACUGCCGUGCUUGAGGACUGGAGAGGAGACUGGAAUUUACGGUGUAGCGGUGAAAUGCGUAGAUAUCGUAAGGAAGACCAGUGGCGAAGGCGGGUCUCUGGACAGUUCCUGACGCUGAGGCACGAAGGCCAGGGAGCAAACGGG